GGCGCUGUGGGGUAACGGUCAACCUUAGGCUUCAGAGUAAAGUUCAUAGAGUUCUUUCAAGCCUAGCUGUGAGUUCGAAUCUGGCCAGCGCCG